UAUUAUAGGGAAAUGGAUGCAACUCAAGACCAUAUUUGUAAAAACUCAGACAACAGUGUGAGAAGUUGCAUGAUGAAUUAGACCAUUUCUAGAGUGACCUUGGACCUGUGUGACUGCUUAUGAGAAUGAAUGGAAGCAAAUGUAUUCAAAAUUUAUCCAAGGAGCAAGAAACCAUAUGCGUUUGUGCAGACUCUAUCACUUUCUUCUGAAGGAAAUCAAAUAUUGCAGUUUAUUUACUGGAUUUCCAUGAAUGGAAUGUCCAAAGUUCCUAAAAGAUUGAAAAAAAAUACCUUGCUGUAAGGAGCAGAGUGAAGCUAAUAACAGAGCAAACCACACUGCAGAGAGAAAUUACCUUUGAUUC